UUUUUAUUGAAAAAGUAUAAAUACCACUAUUUACAUUAAUUUCAGCUAUCAGUGAUCCGAAGUCAUCACAACGCCUUACAAGUACUUAUUCUCUCAGUUCAAACGAACGAUUCCAAAAUCAAUUACAUCAUGUACAAGUUAAUGUUGUUGGUUGUUGCCGCCUUGGCUCUUAUCGCCGUCGUUUCUUCUCAAAUCAUCUACACUUAUCCAACCGCUCCAGUCGUCUAUCCAUCUAUCUACUCUUAUCCUUCAUACUCGUGGGGAGUCUACACUCCAUACACUCUUCUCCGCAGAUAAUCUCACUAAAUUUUCUACACUUCUCUGGUUUAAUUGUUUUCACGGAAAAGAAGAAUCAUGAUUGUAAGCUUCAAACUUCACUUUAUUAUAUUUUUAAAUAUUUCUGUUAUAUUAACUUAAACUAUCUUGAAGAAUUUAAAUUAAAUAAAAACCUUCAUAUUUUUUCAUAAAAACAA